AUACGUAGGGUCCGAGCGUUGUCCGGAGUUACUGGGCGUAAAGGGCGCGCAGGCGGCGGUGCUGGCCCGGCGUGAAAGCCCCCGGCUCAACCGGGGAAGGGCGUCGGGGACCGCACCGCUUGAGGGCGGUAGGGGCUGGUGGAAUGCCUGGUGUAGUGGUGAAAUGCGUAGAGAUCAGGCGGAACACCCGUGGCGAAGGCGGCCAGCUGGGCCGACCCUGACGCUGAGGCGCGAAGGCGUGGGGAGCGAACG
rnacentral:rRNA from 1 species